UGUUGGAAACAUUCCAUUUUAUUUUAAAAUAGAUUUUGAGUAGAUCUAGUGUAGAGACUACCAACCUAUUUAGCCCUAACUGAUAGCCAGUACUCUCUGUAGGUUACCACAGGCAAGAAAAGGAAGAAAAUAAAGGACGAACUGCAAGGGAGGAAGAAAAAAGGUUACCAGAGGAAGGGAGGUGGUAAAAAGGUGCACAGGGGAUUUGAGUCUAUUCCUGGCCUUGCCACUGCUAUGUGUGUGUGACCCUGGACAAUGGCAGAAAUCCCUAUCAUGUCUCUAGGCCUCAGCUUUCUCACUCAAUCUAUAUGUUUUCAUGGGCAAGGAAAUAGAAAGCAGUGUUGAUUUUGGUUACUGUUUCUGUGAUCCAGCUGUAAAGUUUUCCUGUUCUUGUGGUAUGGGUGAGUGGCAGGGCUAGUGAUGGUUGUCACAGAUGAACCUUGGUUAUAACUAGGCUGUUGCUUACAGCAUCCAGCUCUUGAACUAACUUACACAGGUGGUUUUCCCCAGAGUAGUCCAAAUGGGAGAAUGAGUAUAUCGCCCUGUGUUUUCUGAAAAUUACCUAAGCACAUUUCAGUGACAAUGUGUAAGCAUGGCAGGUAAGCGAUCUGCAGUAUCAUUCAGAUUUGAGGAAGGAGAGAGGAGAAGUUAAUCUCUGCCACACUUGUUUUGCUUUGUUUGUGAAUUGAUAAAUUGUAGAGAUUGCCUUACAGCAUUUUUUCUAUUGUUAAAACUUUUGCAUUGAGCAUCUCAUGCUGACUUUGCAAUCCAGAAAGGGCCUAAAAUUCUUCAGUCAUAGGAGCUUUAGAUGCCCAGGAUUUGCAGUAAGUUUGUUUAAAGCAGAAAUGAGGCAGUGCUUUGGUCUGGAUAUGCUGCCAUGCCCCGCCUUCUUGCUCUUUAAUGUGCUUCACAGAUCCUGGGUUUUGUACAAAUUGAAGUCUUGUGGCCGCCCUGCAUUGAGCGAGUCUGUCGCUGCCACUUUUCCAACAACAUGUGCUUUGUGGCUCUCUGUUCACACUUUGGUAAUUCUCAUAAUACUUCAAACUUUUUCAUUCUUAUAAUAUCUGUCAUGGUGAUCUGUGAUCACUAAUCUUUGAUUACUGAUUACAAUUGUUUUGGGGCACCACAAACCGCAUCCAUAUAAGGUGGUGAACUUAAUUGAUAAAUGUUGUGUGUGUUUUGAUGGUUCCACUGCAGGCCAUUCCCCUAUCUCUCACCCUCUCCUCCUGAGACACAAUAUUAACAUUAGGCCAAUUAAUGACCCUGCAAUGGCCUCUAUGCGUUAAAGUGAAAGGACAAGAUGCAUGUCCCUCACUAUUUAUUUAUUUACUUAUUUAGAGAUGGAGUCUUGCUCUGUCACCCAGGCUAGAGAGCAGUGGCCCAAUCUCAACUCACUGCAACCUCUGCCUCCCGGGUUCAAGCAAUUCCCCUGCCUCAGCCUCUCAAGUAGCUGGGAUUGCAGGCGCCUGCCACCACGCCCGGCUAAUGACUAAUCAAGAAAUGACUAAGCUUAGCAAGGAAGACGUGUAGAAAGCCAAGAUAGGCAAAACCUAUGCCUCUUGUGCCAAACAGCCAAGUUGUGAAUGCAAAGGAGAAGUUUUUGAAGGAAGUCAAAAGAGCUACUACUCCAGGGAACAUAUGAAUGAUAAGAAAGUGAAACAGCCUUAUUGCUGAUAGAGAAAGUUUUAGUGGUUUGGAUAGAAGAUAAACCAGCCACAACAUUCUCUGAAGCCUAAUCCACAGCAAGGUCCUCUCUUCAAUUCUGUGAAGGCUGAGAGAUGUGAGGAAUCUUUAGAAGAAAAAUUUGAAGCUAGCAGAAGCUGGUUUAUGAGGAUCAAGGGAAGAAACCAUCUCCAUGACAUAAAAGUGCAAGGUGAAACAGCAAGUGCUGAUGGAGAAGCUGCAGCAAGUUAUCCAGAAGAUCUGGCUAUUAUAAUGGACAAAGGUAGCUGCACUAAACAACAGGUUUUCAAUGUAGACCAAACAGUCUUACAUUAGAAGAUGCCAUCUAGGAAUUUUAUAGUUAGAGAGAAGUUAAUGCCUGGCUUCAAACCUUCAAAGAACAGGCCGACUCUUGUUAAGGGUAAAUGCAGCUAAUGACUUUAAGUUGAAGCCAAUGCUUGUUUACCAUUCCAGAAAUCCUGUGGCCCUUAAGAAUCAUGCUAAAGCUACUCUGCCUGGUCUCUAGAAAUGGAAUGACAAAGCCUGGUUGGAAGCACAUUUGUUUACAGCAUUAUU